UAUCUGAACCUUCGGGGAACGAUAACGGCGUCGAGCGGCGGACGGGUGAGUAAUGCCUAGGAAAUUGCCCUGAUGUGGGGGAUAACCAUUGGAAACGAUGGCUAAUACCGCAUGAUGCCUACGGGCCAAAGAGGGGGACCUUCGGGCCUCUCGCGUCAGGAUAUGCCUAGGUGGGAUUAGCUAGUUGGUGAGGUAAGGGCUCACCAAGGCGACGAUCCCUAGCUGGUCUGAGAGGAUGAUCAGCCACACUGGAACUGAGACACGGUCCAGACUCCUACGGGAGGCAGCAGUGGGGAAUAUUGCACAAUGGGCGCAAGCCUGAUGCAGCCAUGCCGCGUGUGUGAAGAAGGCCUUCGGGUUGUAAAGCACUUUCAGUCGUGAGGAAGGUAGUGUAGUUAAUAGCUGCAUUAUUUGACGUUAGCGACAGAAGAAGCACCGGCUAACUCCGUGCCAGCAGCCGCGGUAAUACGGAGGGUGCGAGCGUUAAUCGGAAUUAC
rnacentral:rRNA from 1 species